AUAUAUAUUCAUCAGAUGUGAAAUUCUUUCUUUUUCUAAUCUUUCUUUUCUACCACUAGCUAUAUAGCUAAUAGCUUUCUUUUCUAAUCAAUUGAGAAGCAAUGUAGGUUGGCCAAUUAAUAUAUUUACAAGGAUUGAAAGGGAAGGCCAUAAAUCAAUACAGAAACCUUUUUUGUGGAGACUCGUGGCAAGGGUUCUGCCAAAAAGGAUCUUAAUAGCCAAAGGAACUUGUUCCGAGAUAUUUUAGAAUUUUUUCAGAGGUAUUUUUCAACGAGGAAGAACCAUUGAAGCUGAAGCAAAAUUUAAGAAGCUCUUGAGAAGAAUAAAUGUGAAAUCUGAAAAGGUUGACCUGUCAAAGAGUAAGAAAGAAACUCUAGUUCUCUGUCAAAAGUUGAAGAACUACUGGACAAAAAGAUAAUCUGACUCGGCAGACACAUCAGGUGCUGGCCCUUAAUUAUCACUAGGCUUCUAGUUGCAGAUACUCAAGCAGGAAGUCUGAUUGGAAAGCAGGGUUCCACCACAAAAUCCAUUCAAGAUGGCUCUGGUUACAUUAUAUGUGUUCUUG